GGAGAAUUGGCAGAGUGGUCGAAUGCGGCAGUCUUGAAAACUGUUGAGGGUUACACCUCCGGGGGUUCGAAUCCCUCAUUCUCCGCGA
rnacentral:tRNA from 1 species